CUUCAAGUCAGCCGAUCCGCCCCACCCUUCUUGCUCUCCGGACUGGGCCCGCCCCACCUACUGACAGCGGAUUAUCAAAACGCGGCUCCGCCACGGCUCCACGGCGGAGCCCUUCAGCAAACUCGCGCCUUUCCCCACCCCCCUCUUUUUUUCUUUUUCAAAAGUCAACGACUGCUGUCAUAAGGAGCGCAGGAGCAGAGCUUCUCUAAGAUCAAUUCAGCCUGCCUUCCCCCCUCCACCUUGUCUGCUACCUCACUGAAAUAAAAUGAAUAGAAAGACUCUACCUGUCUCCAACUCCACCUUAAGAAGGAGGGCCCGUGUAGACGUAGAAAACCGACUUAAACAAAUGCGGGAUGACGCCACAAAUUUAAUUGACUUUCAGAUGACAACAGAGAGGAACCUUGACCAUGGACACAUCAGUGAAGAGCAUUUUCAUGAAAGUCACACUGGAACUGAUAAUCCACACUGUCUAGACACUGAAACCGGUGCUGGUUUUAGUGACCCUGAACAGGAUAAGCAGAAGAGAAUGGAUGUCAUUUCUUUGGGGACUCUGACAGUGACACAGAAGAAGUUUACCUGAAAAGGAAAGCCAGAGCUGCAGUAAGACGCCCACUACAACCACCUGCUCCAGUUAUCCAACCACCACCUUUCACUGGAGCUAGCAUCCACACAAUUGCUUCUUCUGCAAAAACUCCAUCACCACCACUGCUUGCCCAGAUGGAAAAUAGACCAAGAGAUGAGCCAACUCCUUCUUCAAGCCAUGUCUACAGGCCUACUUGGAAAGGGGGACGGUAUGGCUCAGACACAAUUACCUGCUCUGCUGCAGAAGUUCAAAUAUUGAGCUUACUGGAGUACAUUAAACACCAACAAGACCAAUUAACCACCAAAGUAAACUAUCUGACCAACAAGCUGAACUCAACUGUCCAAGAAAGAGAAAUACCUGACCCUGUACAGUUUCCACUACAAUCAAUGGAGGAAGUGGAGAAUUUUGAGAAAUGGCUCAAAGAUCCUGCUAACUCUCACCUGAAGCAGAGUGUGAUUUCUUCACUGGCAGCCAUCGGGGGGCUGAUGCAAGAAGUAUCACAUGGAACAUUCUUUCCCGCAUGUUCCACAGUGACAUUGGACAGAAGAUAAAUUGGACAGGGGCCAAUGGAAAGGGAGGUUUCUCCCAGAUGGCAUCAAAAACAGUACUCUUGGAUGCAGUAAGAAAGACCCACGUGUCCCGUGCUGCCACAGAAGAGGAGAUUCGGAAACAUGCCAUACGAUGGUUCAAUCUGGCAGCAGACAGAGGAAGAAGGCGGCGUCCUCCUGUUACCAUCCCGAAUCAAUGCUGAGGACUUCAGUUUGUUAUUGUUACUGUUAUUGUUCCAAAAAUGGUUAUCUUUCAGUUAUUUGUCUGUUAAUGUUUUAAUGAAGUACAGUAAUGAAUCAAUGCAUCACCUGCUUAAUUAAUUUGUGAUAGUAUUUCCUUUCUUUGCCAUUUUACUUUUUCCUUUACUGCAUUUUGUUAAAGAAUAAAGAAGUGUUAAAGGAUUUAUAGUAAAUAAACAGUAUUCUUGAUACAUUUAUGAUCCCAUUAUUUUUGUAAUACUCAUAUGCUCAUCUUGUUAUUCAAAUGGAAAAUUAGGCUUUAGAUAAGGAUGCCGUAAUUGUUAAAGAUUUUUCAUUUUCCCUAAAAUCAGUCUUCAUGUCCAAAUAGAUAUUUUAGCUUUAACUGUAGCUAGCAUGGCUACAGCAAUUUUUAAUAAGGGAUCCUGAAAAUAUUCUGGCCAAAAUAAGCUGUUAUAUGAACGGAUUCAAAACGGAUCCGUGUCGGAUCAGUUUUUCCACAGACGGCUCCGUAAAGGAUCCGUUUUGGAUAACCUGAAACGUGGACGGGUCCGAUUUGUAUCCGGUCCUGAUCUGUUCCUCAACCGUGAUCCUGAUCCGUUACUGAUCCGUCCC